rnacentral:rRNA from 1 species
AGUGAACGCUGGCGGUAGGCCUAACACAUGCAAGUCGAACGGCAGCACAGUAAGAGCUUGCUCUUACGGGUGGCGAGUGGCGGACGGGUGAGGAAUACAUCGGAAUCUACUUUUUCGUGGGGGAUAACGUAGGGAAACUUACGCUAAUACCGCAUACGACCUACGGGUGAAAGCAGGGGAUCUUCGGACCUUGCGCGAUUGAAUGAGCCGAUGUCGGAUUAGCUAGUUGGCGGGGUAAAGGCCCACCAAGGCGACGAUCCGCAGCUGGUCUGAGAGGAUGAUCAGCCACACUGGAACUGAGACACGGUCCAGACGCCUACGGGAGGCAGCAGUGGGGAAUAUUGGACAAUGGGCGCAAGCCUGAUCCAGCCAUACCGCGUGGGUGAAGAAGGCCUUCGGGUUGUAAAGCCCUUUUGUUGGGAAAGAAAAGCAGCAGGUUAAUACCCCGCUGUUCUGACGGUACCCAAAGAAUAAGCACCGGCUAACUUCGUG